GCCCUGCUGAGCUGCCAGCCCAGAGGAGCAGUCUCCUGCAGGUCUGAGGAAGGAAAUUUGCUUUUCAAAGCAGAUUGGCAGAAAUCUGAAGAGGUUAGAGGCAGAAAUUAUAAAAGGAAGAGAUAGGCUAAGCCACCUAUUCCUUUCAGUUUAGAGAAACUGAGGCCAGAAGAGGAGCGAGGAUAACUUUAGUGAUAAAAUCCAUCUUUCAUGUAUUUGUUCCAUAGCUUCAUAAUCUGGAAAUUGCUCCCAUGUACAUCUUCUCAUAUAGCCAGAGACCACUUCCUGAAGGAGCUGCCGUUUGGGUUGGACAUAGAAAGAUUUAGGCAGGUAUGGGAGGUAGGGUGCUUCGUGUGGAGGAACUCC
rnacentral:lncRNA from 1 species